GGGGGCUGCAAAUGCUGAGUACUUACGCAGCUUAGUACUUAGAGGGGAAGGUGAUAGCAAAUUAGAAAGAGGAAAACAAGUGGAUGGGCAAAGAAAAUGGCUCGCCUCGUCCAGAUGGGCUGCUGCUGCACAAUUUGCACUUGCUGUUAGCCUCACUUCAUCACAGAAUGACCUGUUGCAGUUGGAAAUUAAAGAUGGGGAUAGUAUCCUUAGGAAAACAAAGGAUGCUGUAAUAACACUUCAGGGGGUUUUGGAGGGGAAGCAUGACAAAGUGAUUGAAGAAAAUCUUGAUCAGUACCAGGUCCCCCGGGAUAGAUGGUGGUCAGCUCUAUACAGAAUGAUUGAAGGUACUAUUUUAUUCUUCUCGUUAUGACAUAUGCCGUGACUUACAAUGGGGAAAGUUUAUCGUAUUUUCUGUUUCCAUUAUAAGUAUACAUUUCCAUUUCCAGGUCUUGCGGUCAUGAGUAGGCUGGCACGGAACAGGCUUCAUCAUGAGGACAACUUUGCAGAUCGAUCAAUUAAUUGGGAUGACGUCGAAAUGUAGGGGUAACUACGACACAUUUUGACUUAAUGGACUUGCAGUCUAACAGGGAGUUGUAACUUAAAUAAAGGCACCACCCUGAUUUAGAAGACAGUUAAUGCUGUCUAUUUUGCGGGCCACCAAACUUGGCGAGCCUGCUUCUGUUAAAUUGGGCACAGGAUUUUGAACUCCAUGACCAUUUCUGUGUGUAGGCUGGAUAGCUAUCUAAAAAGUUUUGACACAUUAAAUAGCUCGAAAGCAUGCUUGGACGUAUACUUUUUAACUAACUAUUUAUUUUUAAACACAUUAGAUAAUUAAUUUUUAUUUUAUUUUUUUAACUUUUAGUUAUAAAGGUUACUUUCUAAAACUAAAACAUGAAUUAGGAGGCUGUAUUGCAUCAUAUGGCAGCCGUGAGGAUUAUUGUCACUAUGAUAUCUAGCGAUGUCAAGUGCAGUUUUGUAAAUUUUUUAAUAAUGGUGAAAUUUAGUAUAUCGAAUCAAUAACAGCUCAAGUUAGUGCAACCUUUUCUUCUUCUUUCUUUCUUUCUUUUUUUAACUCUCUAAAGGAUUCCAAGGUGGAAAAUUUUGGAAGUUAGCAGUUUCUGAAAAGAAUGCAUGGUUGGUCUAUUAAGUAGCUGACUGGCUACAUUCAAUUGGCGUUUAAUCAUGAUAAGCAAUCUGAGUAAACUCCAUGCCAAAUUAGACCUGUGCAAUAAAUUUUUAAAAUGUACCUCUCUCAAAAAGUAGGCAUUAUAUAUAAUUGACCUUUUUAGGGUACUGAGUACUGACAAUUAUGGUGCAUUUAUGUAUCUAUGGUGAUUUUAUGUUUCAUUUUUGCCAGGCACGGUGAGGUUUAAUCUUGAUCCUUUCAAUGAACACAAUGAUGCUGACCUGUGGGAGGCUUUAGAGAGGGCACAUCUAAAGGAUGCCAUCAGGAGGAAUUCUUUGGGUUUGGAUGCACAGGUACAGAAAUCAUGCUUUGUUCAAUGAUAUUUUGUUUCGCCCCCAUUAUAAUGAGAAUUUGGGAAAAAUGUAUUUUGCAAUAGUAAUUUUUUGAAGAAUGUGUGGUUAAAAAAGAAAAAAAAAAGCUUUGGGUAUGCACACUCACUAUAUCUAUAUACGUAAACGUUUCAGUUGAUAGCCUUUCAAAAAAGCCCUUUCUCUCUAUUACAUGUCAUAUUAUUUUAUUGGAAAAUGUAUGGUUGACAAGAAGAGAAAAAAAUGAAUUAUAACUUUAAUGGAGCGAAACAGGGAUUUAGUAUUUCACUUACACUUUGUUAACCUCUAACAUGGAGAACGAAUGCUCUUUUCUACAACCGGAAUCGAAUUUGUUAUACAUACGGUGUUCGUCUAGUUUGCAACAAUAUUAUUGGGAAAGACUAAUCAUUUGAUCAUUUGCUUGCUAAUGAAUGCAAGUAAUUGAAAUAUGUGCUCCACAUUGCUAUGUUGGAAUAACUUGACAGUGAAGUUUGCAUGUGAUUUUCAGUUCUCUCUUUUGAACUUAACUCAAAUUUCUGCCUUAUCAAGGUCUCAGAAGCUGGGGAGAACUUCAGUGUUGGACAGAGACAGUUGUUAAGUCUUGCUCGAGCAUUGCUUCGCAGAUCAAAAAUUCUUGUCCUCGAUGAAGCGACUGCUGCUGUUGAUGUUAGAACCGAUGCUCUUAUUCAGAAGACUAUAAGAGAAGAGUUCAAAUCGUGCACAAUGCUCAUUAUUGCUCACCGUUUAAAUACGAUUAUCGACUGCGACAGGAUUCUUCUGCUUGAUGCUGGUCAGGUACAUGGAGGCAUUAGAGGCUAAUUCUAAUGUGUGUGAGACACCGAAUGAAAAAAGAUGAGGAAAAAAAUGAACUGACAACCGGGAUUCUUAAAAGAUUUGUGUUUGAUUAGUAUGUAGGGAUCUGGAUCUGCGUAAAAUAAUUUUUGUCCCUCUUUCUCAGGUCGUGGAAUAUGAUACUCCUGAAAUGCUGCUGCAAAAUGUAGAAAGUGCAUUCUCUAAGAUGGUUCAGAGCACGGGGGCUGCAAAUGCUGAGUACUUACGCAGCUUAGUACUUAGAGGGGAAGGUGAUAGCAAAUUAGAAAGAGGAAAACAAGUGGAUGGGCAAAGAAAAUGGCUCGCCUCGUCCAGAUGGGCUGCUGCUGCACAAUUUGCACUUGCUGUUAGCCUCACUUCAUCACAGAAUGACCUGUUGCAGUUGGAAAUUAAAGAUGGGGAUAGUAUCCUUAGGAAAACAAAGGAUGCUGUAAUAACACUUCAGGGGGUUUUGGAGGGGAAGCAUGACAAAGUGAUUGAAGAAAAUCUUGAUCAGUACCAGGUCCCCCGGGAUAGAUGGUG
rnacentral:lncRNA from 1 species